UUGGAUCCUUAUGCAUGCAGACCUAUAGGAUGUUUUGCUGGAAAACAAAAGUGAAUUAUCCACACCCAGUCCAUAACUGGAUCCUUCUUUAUGGGAUUUACAGAUAUUUAGGAAAAUUGCCGGAAUAGAGAUAUAACGAGGCUUGAUAAAUAACUAUUAUCCACAUUUGGGAGAAAAGUAUAUUUUACCAAGUAUUUUAUAAUAAAGAACUCCUUCUAAUAUCGUUACGAUAUGAGAAUCUUCCACUUCAAGUGUAAAGAAUAAGGAAUCCACUAAAUGUGGUCAUAUUAUGGGACUCUUCUUCCUCAAGUUUUCUAGCCUAUUUCAUAAAUAAUCCUUAGUACAAUAAUUGAUCCAUUUAAAAUUCAUUAUCUUCUAUGAAUGAUGCAGCAGUUUUCAAAAUAGAGAGCUACCUUUUAAAAAACACCCCUGAAGAAGUCGCUAUAAGACGAAAUGCGUUUGAUGAAAGCUCAUUUAUCUCUUAAUUUUCUUUACAUGAAUAAUGUUGAAUCACACAACUGUAUUUCCAAUGUAAAAGAAAUGUUUAUUAUCAAUUCAUUUUAAUAAAAAUUGUGAAUCUAAACUAUAUUGUUCUUAUAAUAAAAAAACAUUUGUGUUUUAAUACGGGUGUUUAUAU